UUUAAGUAGCGGUAUAUUUAAGAAGUCAUAAUUUUCUAUUAUAUGCUUCUAAUUUUUACUAAAAUUUAUAUGUGCGUUGCAAACGAUAAAUUAUUAAUAAUAAUCAUAUAACAUUAAUAAUAAUGCAUAAUAUUAAGUAAUUAUUUUAAGAACUUUCAAUAAUGUUCAAAUGUAGUUUUAUGCAAAUUUAAUUAUUCUAUGAAUAUAUCAUGCAUUCGAAACUAAUUAUAAUAAUAUUUAAACUUAAUAGGAAUUCUUAUGUAUUAGAUCUACUCAAUAUAAAAAAAUCGAAACUGCUCUAACUCAACUAACUAAUCAUACUUUUAAAUGAAAUCUAAUCGCUAUUACUCAUUAUCAUAAUAAAACAUAGUAAGUUUUCUUCAUCUUGAAACAAUUUUAAGUAAUCUUUUAAUAAUAACUUACUUCUCACAUACAGAGACGUAAUACUAUGAAAAGAAUAUUUUAAAGAAUUAAACUUUGACGAUAUAUUAUGUACACCAUAUAUAUUUCUUUGAUACUUUUACGUAUAAGCUGGUAUCUACCUAGAAUUUCAUCUCACUUUUCUUUAGUAUCGCAGUUAAUCUUUUUAACUGAUAAUAAUUAUCAAUUACUAUUUUCUAUCAUUUAGAUUUAAACAUUAGAUUCAACUUGAAUCAAACAUAUUAUAAACUCUUAUAAUCCAAGUUACAGUACCACGUCAAAAUAAUUUACCUAUAAUUCUCAAUGAGAAUUGAUAACAAAUAAUCUAUCAAAUAAAAAAAAAAAAAUUCCUAUCUGAGAAUGUAAGAAAAUGUGAAUUUCGAACAUCUAGGAUGGCUGCCUGGCCUUCGUCACCCUGUGGAUAGAGAAAGCGUCAACACUUAAGGGUGUUAUAAAUUAAGUCCUCACCCGCUUAGUGCGUGUGAGCCAACGGGCUCCGACGUCUUAUAAUUGCGACGUCUGAAAAUGCGAAGCUUCGAACGGUCGCAGCGAUUACUUCGAUUCCUUUAUCUCUGGUUCUGGGAAGAGAUAGUAAAAUCACUUGAGAAUGUCGUAAACUAUGCCCUCUCUUUUACUAGCGUAUAAAAUUUCAAACCUUUUCGGACAGAUACAGACCAGAUAUCAGGAUGCGUUUAUAAUAUGCUUAUUAUAUAUAAGGUUUACGAAAUGACCGUGCUUUACAGAGUACUUUAUGGAUUUCAAUAAAAACAAGCUACUCUUGAAGUAAAACAGAUGUUCUUUAUUUUUAGUAGCGCUGACCUGAAAUACAGAAAAGGAUACUUUCUCUGUUGUCUGUUCUUUAUAGAACGUCGUAAAAGUCAAUAGAUGCAAGACUAUUUAUAUUAUUAAAGAAUUUCGGUUUUAUCUCUAUGAAAGCAAAUAAUUAACUUGAAGAAGUUAGCUACGUAACUAAAUUGAAGAAAUUUGGAACUUUUUAUGGGUCAGCAAUUAGCAACAUUGUAUUUCCUAAAACAACUUGAAGAAGCGUUCAGACAAUCGAUAUUAUUGUUUAAGAUUGCCAACAUUACUCUAGACCAGCGAUUCUUAACUUGUGGUCCAGGAAUCCGCGAGGGCCACAAAGUCCUCACACAUAUAGGUUAUUAUUGUAUGUGUUAUCCGAAUAAAAAAUAUUUAGUACAUAUAUAUAUUUAUUUAUUUAUAAUGAAUCUCUUCUCUCAAAAAUUUAAAGAUAUUGAAUAAAAAAACAAGUUAUGUAAUUUUUAAAUGGGAAAAGAAAUCGUGAAACAUAGUACAAAAUAUCUAGGUAGACCACAUAGGAAUUCAUCUGAAUCUCCAGGUCACCGAUUUCCUUGACAAUAGUAUACAAAUACGAAGGUACAAGACUUUUGAGACAAAAGGCACUAAACUCACCAUCGUAAUUUAAAAAAAUAUUCGACGACUAAAAACACCCAAGGGCCAAACAUAUAUUUAAUUAAAAAGUAUAGAAGAACAUACUGCGUAUAAUUUCUUCGUUUUACUCAUAAAAGAAAUAUUUCAGGUGAAGAGAGUUCGUGAGACACACUGUAUGUAAUAAGCAUUUCUUAUGACCACUAUACGUACUAUCAGUUAUUACGGCAUUAUAUUCUCAUUAUUAGACUACAAUUUUUAUACAAAUUAGUAUUUUUACAAAUCUAAUUGUAAACAAGUUGUAAAACAAGUGGAAUCUAAGAGGAAAUUUAUUUCAUUCACUGAAUAUUGUAAUAAAUACUAUACUUUGGAUAUUUUUGUACAUUAUACGCAUUUUUUUAAAUGUUACAUUUUCUAUAAAUGCGGAAAAAUCUACAGUUUACUAAUUAUUUUUAUUUAUAUUUCAAUAAUUCGUACGAAUUUUACAGAUAUAAAUAUAAGUUCCCGUCUUUUUUAUGUUCUUACUUACUUAUUACACUUAAUUAACAAAAUCACUGAUCACACUUUGUGUAAUUUUUAUAAAAAUAAUUGAAAUUUAGAAAUAUAUAAUUUAGAAAAUACUUACUGCUAUUUGAUUAAUAUCAACACAUAAUCCCACAUAUUGAUGUUAUCAUUAAUUGUUAAUAUUAAAACAUAUGUGCCAAAAUAACGUGGAUAAUAAAAUAAUUUUACUCAAAACAAAUGUUCAUAUUUAUAUAUUUUAUUUAUUCAUAACUUAUACAAUUUCUGACAAAGAAUGAUUUAUAAAAUAAGUUAUCCCGAUAGUUUUAAAUUUAUAUAAUUUGCAUACAAAGUAUAGGUUAAUAAAAACGCACAUUUUUUUAAAUUGUGUUAUUAAACUAUUUGAUACUUUAUACCAGUUUAUUAC